UGCCAGUGAUGACAAACACAUUUUUUUCUGACACCUCGUAUGAGAGCUACCAGCUCCUCUGAUUCUAACUCUUAUCUGAGGCUA